rnacentral:rRNA from 1 species
AACGAACGCUGGCGGCGUGCCUAACACAUGCAAGUCGAACGAGAAAGCGGACUUCGGUCCGUUAGUAGAGUGGCAGACGGGUGAGUAACACGUGGAUAACCUGCCCAGAUGUGGGGGAUAACCUUCCUAACGGAGGGCUAAUACCGCAUAAUAUCUCGAAAUCCUCGGGUUUUGAGAUCAAAGCUUGCCUCUAUUUAUAAGCUAGCGCAACUGGAGGGGUCCGCGCCCCAUUAGCUUGUUGGUGAGGUAACGGCUCACCAAGGCACCGAUGGGUAGCCGGCCUGAGAGGGUGAUCGGCCACACUGGAACUGAGACACGGUCCAG